rnacentral:rRNA from 1 species
AGAGUUUGAUCCUGGCUCAGAACGAACGCUGGCGGCGUGCUUAACACAUGCAAGUCGAACGAGAAAGUUCCUUCGGGAGCGAGUAAAGUGGCGCACGGGUGAGUAACGCGUAGAUAACCUGUCCAGGUGUUUGGGAUAGCCCUUCGAAAGGGGGAUUAAUACCAGAUACGUUAGUCUGUCAUAAGGCAGAUUAAGAAAGGUGGCCUCUAUUUAUAAGCUAUCGCAUUUGGAGGGGUCUGCGUACCAUUAGUUUGUUGGUGGGGUAAUGGCCUACCAAGACUUCGAUGGUUAACGGGUCUGAGAGGAUGAUCCGUCACACUGGCACUGAAACACGGGCCAGACUCCUACGGGAGGCAGCAGUGAGGAAUAUUGCGCAAUGGGGGAAACCCUGACGCAGCGACGCCGCGUGGGUGAGGAAGGCUUUCGGGUCGUAAAGCCCUGUCAGGUGGGAAGAAAUGUUUACAGGCUAAUACCCUGUAGAUUUGACGGUACCACCAAAGGAAGCACCGGCUAACUCCGUGCCAGCAGCCGCGGUAAUACGGAGGGUGCAAGCGUCGUUCGGAAUCACUGGGCGUAAAGGGCGCGCAGGCGGUUUGAUUAGUCAGAUGUGAAAGCCCACGGCUUAA